CACGUAGGGGGCAAGCGUUGUCCGGAUUUAUUGGGCGUAAAGAGCUCGUAGGCGGCUUAGUAAGUCGGGUGUGAAACCUCCAGGCUCAACCUGGAGACGCCACCCGAUACUGCUGUGGCUAGAGUCCGGUAGGGGAGCGUGGAAUUCCUGGUGUAGCGGUGAAAUGCGCAGAUAUCAGGAGGAACACCAGCGGCGAAGGCGGCGCUCUGGGCCGGUACUGACGCUGAGGAGCGAAAGCGUGGGAAGCAAACAGG
rnacentral:rRNA from 1 species